rnacentral:lncRNA from 1 species
CCACCACCUUUCCACAGCUUGUUCAUUUUUAACUGAGGCUUCUUUAUACACACCAGGUGUGGUCUUCACUUUUAUCAUCUCGUUAUUGUGAAGUCUGUGAUCUGCUCCAGGGAUUAAUUAGAGCUGGGGCCCAUCUUUAGCUGGACUUGCCAAGCCCUCUUCCCUUAUAAUUAAAAGUUCCAGUAGCUGCAAGUAGGCAUCUAGGAGAACAAGUUUUGCACACUUUUCUGAGAUACUCACGUGAUCUCCAGGCCACUUUGCCAUAUCUGAAGAUAUACCUGGCUUGAAAUCAGAGACUUUUCCAAAUGACAUAGGAAAACAACAUUCAAACCAAGGCAUGGAAGUGGAAUGCAAGCUACAAGCCAGAGCACUAUAAAAUA